rnacentral:rRNA from 1 species
CAGUCGCCACGGUAACACGUAGGGUGCGAGCGUUAAUUGGAAUUACUGGGCGUAAAGCGUGCGCAGGCGGUUAUAUAAGACAGAUGUGAAAUCCCCGGGCUCAACCUGGGACCUGCAUUUGUGACUGUAUAGCUAGAGUACGGUAGAGGGGGAUGGAAUUCCGCGUGUAGCAGUGAAAUGCGUAGAUAUGCGGAGGAACACCGAUGGCGAAGGCAAUCCCCUGGACCUGUACUGACGCUCAUGCACGAAAGCGUGGGGAGCAAACAGGAUUAGAUACCCCAGUAGUCCCUGUCUCUUAUAC